GAUGAACGCUGGCGGCGUGCCUAAUACAUGCAAGUCGAGCGAACAGACGAGGAGCUUGCUCCUCUGACGUUAGCGGCGGACGGGUGAGUAACACGUGGAUAACCUACCUAUAAGACUGGGAUAACUUCGGGAAACCGGAGCUAAUACCGGAUAAUAUAUUGAACCGCAUGGUUCAAUAGUGAAAGACGGUUUUGCUGUCACUUAUAGAUGGAUCCGCGCCGCAUUAGCUAGUUGGUAAGGUAACGGCUUACCAAGGCGACGAUGCGUAGCCGACCUGAGAGGGUGAUCGGCCACACUGGAACUGAGACACGGUCCAGACUCCUACGGGAGGCAGCAGUAGGGAAUCUUCCGCAAUGGGCGAAAGCCUGACGGAGCAACGCCGCGUGAGUGAUGAAGGUCUUCGGAUCGUAAAACUCUGUUAUUAGGGAAGAACAAAUGUGUAAGUAACUAGGCACGUCUUGACGGUACCUAAUCAGAAAGCCACGGCUAACUACG
rnacentral:rRNA from 1 species